GACGAACGCUGGCGGCGUGCUUAACACAUGCAAGUCGAGCGGUAAGGCCCUUUCGGGGGUACGACGAGCGGCGAACGGGUGAGUAACACGUGGGUGACCUGCCCUCAGCUCUGGGAUAAGCCUGGGAAACCGGGUCUAAUACCGGAUAUGACUCCAUGACGCAUGUUGUGGGGUGGAAAGCCUUGUGCGGCUGAGGAUGGGCCCGGCGGCCUAUCAGCUUGUUGGUGGGGUGAUGGCCUACCAAGGCGACGACGGGUAGCCGGCCUGAGAGGGCGACCGGCCACACUGGGACUGAGACACGGCCCAGACUCCUACGGGAGGCAGCAGUGGGGAAUCUUGCGCAAUGGGCGAAAGCCUGACGCAGCGACGCCGCGUGAGGGAUGACGGCCUGUGUAACUCUU
rnacentral:rRNA from 1 species